rnacentral:rRNA from 1 species
UGAGGAAUAUUGCGCAAUGGGGGAAACCCUGACGCAGCGACGCCGCGUGGGUGAUGAAGGCCUUCGGGUUGUAAAGCCCUGUCAGGUGGGAAGAAGUGCCUAGUGGCUAAUAUCCAUUAGGUUUGACGGUACCACCAAAGGAAGCACCGGCUAACUCCGUGCCAGCAGCCGCGGUAAUACGGAGGGUGCAAGCGUUGUUCGGAUUUACUGGGCGUAAAGGGCGCGUAGGCGGUCUACUAAGUCAUAUGUGAAAGCCCACGGCUCAACCGUGGAAGUGCAUGUGAAACUGCUAGACUUGAGUAUGGGAGAGGAAAGUGGAAUUCCCGGUGUAGAGGUGAAAUUCGUAGAUAUCGGGAGGAAUACCGGUGGCGAAGGCGACUUUCUGGACCAAUACUGACGCUGAGGCGCGAAAGCGUGGGUAGCAAACAGG